rnacentral:rRNA from 1 species
GUGCCAGCAGCCGCGGUAAUACGUAGGUGGCAAGCGUUAUCCGGAAUUAUUGGGCGUAAAGCGCGCGUAGGCGGUUCUUUAAGUCUGAUGUGAAAGCCCACGGCUCAACCGUGGAGGGUCAUUGGAAACUGGAAAACUUGAGUGCAGAAGAGGAAAGUGGAAUUCCAUGUGUAGCGGUGAAAUGCGCAGAGAUAUGGAGGAACACCAGUGGCGAAGGCGACUUUCUGGUCUGUAACUGACGCUGAUGUGCGAAAGCGUGGGGAUCAAAC